GCUGGACUAGACACUGUGUACAGAAGUCAGAGAGGCAAAAGUGCAACAAUGCGGUGGGGAAAUGACUAGCUAAAUGACUCUGCUCCCCAUGGCUGCAGGGGGCCCCGAAAUUCCUCAGAUCAUCUAAGGGAAUUGGGGCUCUGGAGGGACUCAGAGACCACUCUUUGUAGGGCCCUUAUGCCCCAAGCACAAUUCCAGCAGUGGAUGUCAGCAGGACACUCCAGAAAGCCCAUGGGUGACCAGUUGGCUCAGUACCCUGGCUGCCAGCAUCAUGGAUUGUGGCAGUAGAAAAAAGAGGAAAUUUAAAGGACUGAGCGUUUACCUUACAGAAACAGAGUCAUCCGAGAGAGACCAUUUAAACUGGAAGACACUGCAGCCCGUGAACCGGCAAACUGGGUUUCCUUCCUCCUUCCCCAAAGUGGUGGGGGAGGGGAGGACUCAUCAGAGCUUUAUAACUUAUAUAAUUAGCAUCUAUUAGUUCUGUGACUUCAAUAAACCUGUAAACAACUGGCGUUGGUGUUAUUGGACCUGAUCUCCAGGAAGCAACCAAGUCCACGGCUGUUAUUGAAGGUUAACCUCCUGCCUGCGGGCACCGUGUGAAGUCUGAGGAAGAGCCCGAGAGCACCGGCCCACCUUCCUGGGGCUUACGCUCCUAUGGGAGACCCUCCGACCACAGCUGGGGACAGUCACGGAGAAUACUGGAAGGUUUACCCCAUAUCCUCUCACACCUCCGAGAAGGUGAUGUGUAAGCUGAGGCCUGAAGUUUGAACAGGAGCCAGCCCUGGAAGGGAGAAAGGGCAUCUGGGCACAGGAGCAGAGCCUGCAAAGCCCUGGAGCCCGAUGAGAGAGAAGGUCAAUGGGUCGGGACUGCGGGCGGGAAGGAGUGUUGGCAGAGCGCGGGCUAGGGGUGAGGAGGCUCGGGUGCGUUCCCAGUUCCCAGGGCAAUGGAAAGGCACCACAGGAUUCUAAGAGAAAGAGUGACAUGAUCUAAUUUAUGUUUUAAAAAGAUCACCAUGGUUGCUGGGGUGGGGGUAUGGGCGGGAGAGGGGGCAGGAGCGGAAGCAGACAGACUAGAUAAUGAGGUCUUCAUUAGCUUCCUGCUGGAUGACUUUGACGAGCAUUUUGGCUUUAGAUGAGGUUAGAAAAUUGCAGGUAAUUGCUGAGAGGUUACAAAAGUGUGCUUUUUAAAAAGCUCUCAUGCACACAAACCGGCUGACACUUCUUGUCUUGGCUGGGGUCGGGGAGAAGGAGGGUUACUGCCAGCUCGUCACACUUUGAGGUGGCUUCAGUCCGUGGCAUCCUAUGAAAUGCAGGAUCUGAUUCAGCAGGUCAGAGUGGGAGUGGUCUGAGACUGUGCAGGUGAGGCCAAGACGGAACCACACUUGAAUAGCGGACUAGGGAGGACUUUAAUUUUCGAAAUUCCUAUAAUGUUCACCUUCCUUUUUUUAAAGGCAUAAUUUGCUUCUGUGCCGCAAAACAAUAACAACUAUAAAGGUACUUUUAAAGGGCCCUUGACAGCCUGCUUGAGACACGAGCAGACAAAACAGAAGGAUAGAUUAGAAAGGGACGUCUCUGACCCAGGCCUCUGGGAGGACAAGGUCACCUCGAAGGGUAAUCUCAGGGGCCCAGUGCAAAACAAAGAAGAAACAAUCUAUUAAACACCUAUUAUCUAUGAAGAACUGUGUUAAGUGCUAGGAUAUGGGAGGGGAGAGCUGCUGGCAGAGGAGCAGGGAAGACAGAGCUAUAAACAGAGAAUCUUAACCCAAGCCCAAGGUGCUAAGUACAUUGAUGGAGUUAGACACCAGCCGUGCCAGAAGGGCAGCCAACCUGGGGAAGGGGUCACUGGGGCUGCCAGAGAAUCACCUAGAUUACCUCCCAGGUCAGGACACCAGCUGAGAGGCUCAGACACCAUCCCCCCACCAUGCCAGGAACUGCCUAGGACCUUGGCAGAGAAGUCUCAGAGCCCUAGUGCUUAAGGACACGGAUUCUGGGGCCGGAUUACCGGGUUCACAUCUCAGCUCCAUUACUUACAAGUUGUAUGAAUUUGGGAAAAUUACCUAAGCUCUCUGAGCCUCAGUUUCCUCCGCUGAAAAAUGGGUAUGAUAAUGACUUAUAUAGAGAGUACUUACAAUGACGGCUGGUCUGUAAUAAGAGCUAUUAAAGCACUAGCUAUUAUGACUUAAUCCUCAACCACUGGGUGAGCGCAGUCCUAGGAAAAGCCCAUCCUGUGGUGCCUGGGUGGCUCAGUCAUUAGGUUUCUGCCUUUGGCUCAGGUCAUGAUUCCAGGGUCCUGGGAUCGAGCCCCAUGUCAGUCUCCCUGAUGGCGGGGAGCUUGCUUCUCCCUCUCCCACUCCCCCUGCUUGUAUUCCCUCUCUCGCUGUCUCUCUGUCAA
ensembl:lincRNA